rnacentral:lncRNA from 1 species
UUACAGAUGUUUUCUCCUUUGGUAUGUUUGUCCUUGAGGUCACCUGUGGACAGAGGCCUGUCAGACACGAAAAUGUGCAAGAUAGCCAACUCAUGCUGGUUGAUUGGGUGCUCGACAAGGUGCGAGAAGGAUCAUUCGGUGCUACCAUGGAUGCUAGGCUUGAAGGGAAGUAUGAUAUCGGUGAGGCAUACUUGGCGUUGAAAAUAGGGCUGUUGUGUUCACACCCAUUCGCCAGUGAAAGGCCUACCAUGCGGCAAGUCAUACAAUACUUGGAUGGGGAGAUUGAGGCUCCAGAUUUAAGCUUCGAGGUGCUAGCCUCUAUGCAAAGUGAAGGGAUCGAUCCAUACCUCAUUUCAUAUCCCUUGUCAACAGAAUGCUUCAGCACAACGUCAAACGUCGUCUCUGGAGGAAGAUGAAAAUGUGUUGUCAUGAAUGGAUACAAAUAUGUUUAUUGCAUACCCUAAGUAACUUAUUUGCAGGUUCUUUUUAGGAGAACACACUGACUAAGGUUUUGGAGUCAACUUCAAAGUAAAGAUGAAAACAAGGAUCUAAUAAUAAAAGGCUGCAGAAGGAUGGAGUCAGUUGGGAUGCACAUCUUCGCGCACUAUGGCUGGAGAUUCAUAAACAGAUUGUCAUUAUAAUUUUGUUUUUCUGUGUUUUCGUGAGUGCCUAUACUAUGUGUCGGAGGUUUGUCCAUCCUUGGUGUUGUAGUCCCUGUGACUACUGUUUUUGUAAGCGUUGGCCCUAGCCUCUCGUUUUGACUUUUGAGGUUAAAGCCGGACAUUUCCAUUAUCUAAAAAAAGAAAUUAAAUGUGCAUUGUAUAUAUAGAGGAAGCCUACAUAACUCGAGGAUAUUGUUAUUAAUUUGCCUGUAAAAUAGUGUGCUUCUUUUUCUGUUUGCAUCCAGAUAUCUUGUGUUUUUUGUUCAAUUACUUCGUGCAGCACCCUUGUUUUGCAUUAGAACCUCCAAUCAAAUAAUUGACGGUACUCACUGAUGUCAAAAUUCACUAGCUUUCACUGUAAGAUAACUACUAUUCAUAAGUAGUCAGUUAUAUAUGUUUGUUUUUUUACAACUAUUCAUAUGUGCAUCCAUGAGAAUCAUAAGGCCAGAUGGAUGAAAAAAAUCGACAAGACAACUAAGCUACAUAAUAACAUGUUCAGUCAUAUAAAAGAUUUUUUUUUGCUUAACACAAUUAUAUAAAAAAAUGUAUAUGUUACAUCCAUCUACCUGAAUCCUCCCAUGCCAGGUUCCCUUGAUCCUAGCUAAGUAUUGGUAAUCUCUAUGAAUUGUACUAGUAUGACCAGAAACAUAUUGCCAAGUGUGCACUGAAUGUACAUAAGAUAUUUUCGGUAAGUAGGAAUCUGGAACUGGCAUUUUGAAGUCUGUAAGUCUCAAAUGCAAAGUUCCCUUGGUCCUAGACAAUCUCUACAUCUCAAUCAGACAAAUAAUAAUGUGUCUGGAGUCUGGACAAAUUGUACUCCUAUAGAUACAACCAUGAGGGUACUCAGAAGUCCAUGCUGAAUCCAUAUAAGAUUUUUUCAGGAAGUAAGGAUUUGGACCUGGCAUUCUGAAGUAGUGAAGCCUGAAUAACCAGAUGCCAAGUAGCUUUGAAACAAGGUAAUCUCCACAAUUCACACACAGACAAAGAAUGAACGAAUUGUUUUGUACUUUUAUGACCACACAUAUGUUUGCAUCAAAGCAGCACACAUCGCAUCAAGCUUCGUUUUCAGUUAUUUCCCUUCUUUAAAUGCACUUGUUUACUUCUAGUUCCUUCCAUUUUACAUGGAAAAAAUAAAUAUUUCGAUGUUCACAGGGAUCCAUAUCCCUGUUAGCAACUUUAUGUUUUCCUUAGUCUAUACUCUAUAGUAGUAUAGUUAUAGGAAGCUAGGUUCUGGCUCUUGCUUAAGCUUAGUAUUUAAAAAAUUUAGAUCACAUUGCAUAUAUAAGAAAUUAUAUGCACGUAGGAUUAGAUCCUAUUUCUACAGAACAAAAUUUUAUGUAUAAUCGCAGCUUCAGGCCUUUAAUCAGAAGCCUGAGAUAUGAGUUAACAAGUAUUCCCUCCAACCUAGGUAAUCACUUCAAGUGGCCGUCAGAUAGGUAUACAUCAAAGCUUUAUUACACAUUUAACAAGCUUUGUUUUCAGCCUCCAUCUUUAAAUGCAAUGUUGUAAGCUAUUCUUGUCCACAACCUGUUAAAGGACUACAAAAAGUUGAUUGGAAUCCUCUACCCUUGUUGCAAUGGAACAGCGAUCUUUACUAGCCCGUGUCUCACGGGACACAUUUGUUUCUUUUGUUAAGCUCUAACCAGUCCACAUUCUGGAUGAAAGCAGAAAUGUAUGCUAACAAUGCUUGACUCAAAAAUUUAGCCUUCUUGUGCAAACAAUGGAAGCUUUCUUUCUGGAUCUUAGUUUGGGUUCAUAGUUUAUGUACAAGCAUUAAAGCUUCCCUUAUAGAAAAAAAGUUUUAUAUACAAGCAUGAAAGAUGCUACUUGUACAAUACGGAGCCUCCUAUUCAUGACAAAAAGUUGAUAUGAUGAUAUGAUGGUUCAGCUGAAUGAUUUUUAGCUGACAUUGUCUUACUACAUUUCAUGUUCAGUUAUUCUGGAAUCCUAAAUACUCCCUUCAUUCCAAAUUGUAAGAUGUUUUGUCUUUUCUAGUUACAUAGCUUUUGCUAUACACUUGGAUAUGCAUUGUAUCUAAAAGAACGUCUUACAAUUUAGAACAGAUGGAGUACUUGUUAGGCUGUUACUUAAAAUCAAUUCUAAGAUGUGGUAGCAAAUAAACCUAACAGUAUAAGUGUCUAUAUCACCUAUUAAAAUUUAGACAAUAACAGAUGUUGAAAAUCCAGAAACUAGACUUGGUAUGAAGCAGCAAGUUAAAAUCUAAUAUAAACUGAACCACUGAGUGCAAGCGGAAACCAGAUAGCAUUGGUUGCCCACAUAACACUUACUGCUUGCUAUCCUUGUUGAUUUGCAGCUUGCAAGACACACACAUGCUUGUAAUGGCAAUGAAGCAUACGUCCUUCCUUCCGUACCUGCUCCUCCUCACAACCUUGGCAUCCUGCGAUGAUCAAUUUCUGUUAUCUGGCUUCACCCAAUCCAGCUUAAACCUUGAUGGUUCUGCCAUCGUCACAAAUGAUGGCCUCCUUGAUCUGACCAAUAGCACUGCAAUUACCAACGGUCACGCAUUCUACCCCAGCCCUUUGCACUUCCGCAAAUCACCUGAUGGUAAAGUUGAAUCCUUCUCAGUCAAUGUUGUUUUCAGCAUCUUCAUCACAUACCCAGACUUGAGUGCUGACGGCAUGGCCUUCUUCAUCGCACCUACCAAGAAUUUCUCUGAUGCACGGGCAGGCAAGUACUUUGGCUUGCUCAACGAAAACAACAAUGGAAACACAAGAAACCACAUCUUCAUGGUCGAGCUUGAUACCUACAAAAAUGCUGAGGUACAAGAUAUCAACGACAACCACGUUGGAAUCAACAUCAACGGUGUAUUCUCCUUCAAAUCCAAUACAUCUGGCUUCUAUGAAGAUAGUGGUGCCUUCCGGGAGCUGACACUGAAUGGAAACAAGGGAACACAACUGUGGAUCGACUAUGACAAGAGUACUAUGCAGAUCAAUGUGACCCUGGCUCCGAUCAACGUGCACAAACCAUCCAGGCCACUGCUGUCUACAACCUAUGAUCUCUCAACUGUAAUCUCCACCUCAACUUCAUACAUUGGAUUCGCAUCCGGAGCUUCUCCCGUGAACUCCCGUCAUUAUGUGAUGGGCUGGAGCUUUGGCAUGAAUAAACCAGCCCCACCCCUUGACGUCUCCAAGCUUCCCAAGUUGCCUUUCCAUGGCCCCAAGGCCCAGUCCAAGCUCUUGGCAAUUGUCCUGCCGAUAGCCACUGCAACGUUGAUCCUCUCCAUAGGCACUAUUGUCACUCUGGUUGUCCGAAGGCGGCUGAAGUAUGCUGAGGUGCGUGAGGAUUGGGAGGGUGAGUUUGGUCCACAUCGGUUUUCAUACAAGGAUUUGUACCAUGCUACAGGGGGGUUUAAGAAUAAGCACCUGCUUGGAGAAGGAGGGUUUGGGAAAGUAUACAAAGGAGUCCUUCCAUUAUCUAAUGUAGAGGUUGCUGUGAAGAGGAUGUCUCAUGAGUCAAGACAAGGAAUGAAAGAGUUUGUCACUGAGGUUGUUAGCAUCGGUCGACUCCGCCAUCGCAACCUUGUCCAGCUACUUGGCUACUGCAGGAGAAAAGGUGAGCUGUUUUUGGUUUAUAACUACAUGCCCAAUGGUAGCCUUGAUAAAUAUCUAUACUGUGAAGAGCACGGUGCUAUUUUGAACUGGGAACAGAGGUUUCGAGUCAUCAGAAACAUCGCUACCGUCUUGCUGUAUCUCCAUGAGAAGUGGGAGAAGAUAGUGAUCCACAGAGACAUCAAGGCAAGCAACGUACUCCUAGAUGGUGAAAUGAACGGCCGCCUCGGCGACUUCGGCCUUGCAAGGUUGUAUGAUCACGGCACUGACCCACAAACAACACAUAUGGUUGGAACAAAGGGAUACCUAGCACCCGAGCUUCUGCGCACAGGGAAGGCGUCCCCUCAUACAGAUGUCUUUGCCUUCGGCAUGUUCCUUCUUGAGGUUGCGUGUGGGCAAAGACCUGUCAAGAAAAAUGCAGAGGGGACUGAAUUUUUCUUGGUCGAUUGGGUGCUCGAGCACUGGAAUAAUGGUGUUAUUACAAAGACACUGGAUUCAAGGCUUCAGGGUGACUACAACAUUGAUGAGGCCCAUCUUGUGUUGAAGCUAGGACUCUUGUGCUCGCACCCACUUCCUAGUUCAAGGCCUAGGAUGCGACAAGUUAUGCAAUACCUCGAUGGCGAUACGCCACUACCCGAGCUAAGGCCAACGCAACUGAGCUCGAACAUGGUUGCCUUGAUGAAAAACAGUGGACUCAACUCAUCUGUCGUGUCAUAUCCGCAAAUAUCGACGAGCUUCUGCACAAUAUCUAGCCUCUCGGGAGGAAGAUGAUAUCUGCCAUUUUUCCGUACUUCAUUACUUAGCUGUUUAGUAUGUGACGCGUUUAAUUUUAUUGUAUAAGUCUUUGUAUUUUUAGGUGCCCACGGGUUGUAUGUUUGUCUGUUUAGUGCGGGGAUUUAUGUCUGUUUGUCUUUUGAAUUCUUUAGGUGUUGGCAGUAGUUUCUUUUUAACGGAACAUUUUUCUUCGUUGUUUUCGUCACAAGGACUUGUCCACAAGCAGCAACAUGUUCAAUACCCUAACACGAUAGUGAAUUUAGUGAUGCUAAAACACGACAUAACUGAAUAAAUAAAUCCGCAUAAAAAGAAUGCAUAACGAGAUUUCUUCAUCUAACAGAAGUUCACCAGAAGACUCGCACGGAUCUGACGCCGAGAAUGAAAUCUAACAGAUAUAAAAAGAAAUCCACAAGGGAGAAUGGUUUCUCCUUGUGUGUGUGUGUGUUUGUGUCAGUUUUGUCAGAAUUUGUGGCAAAUUGCUCUUCAAAUCGUGCCGCAGAGAGCACUGACAUACACGCACAGUUUCAUAUAGUAUUUGUUUUGGGGCGAAAAUGAAGCGAUGUAUGGUUCGGUAAUAUAUUCAUCUAGAUAAGCUCCGAACAAGCACUAAUCGCAAUUUGCGGACAAGCUUCAGAAAUCACGAUUACCUCGUACUACUGUAGUGCCGUCUCCGUGGCAGCCCGGCGGAUACCUACGCCGAGCACAGGAUAAGGCGCAGCCCCCUGCCCCUUGCCCCCCGCCCGCUGCAAUCUGGCCUUCGGCGGAGGAAUCAGGAGGCCGUAGCCGAGGAGACGAUGUCACGACCCUGGUAUUCCUGCUACUGCUACUUAUGCUGUUAAUGUUUAGUCUUUGAUUAAGUCAGUCGGAGAAGAAGAGGAUUAGAGAGGGAUUACUGUUGACCAUCAGGGUUCUAAGUCUUGUAAUAGAUCCAGACCAUUAGGCUCAUAUUAGAGUCUAUAAAUAUUUAUAAUCACAUCUGGAAGAGACUAUGAAAUGGAAUAAAGAACAAACUCCACCAAAACUUGUAUUUAUCUAAGCGCACCUAGGGAAGUCUUCUUCUCCAGCGACGACGAAUUCUCACGCCGUGGUUGCUCGUCGUCGGCCACGGGACGUCGAUCCAUAGGUAUCAAAGUUCUCUUUCUUCGGUGUGGGUUGGUGAUCACAAGGAAGUUAGGUUGGUAUUAGGUAAAAG